rnacentral:lncRNA from 1 species
AAAUAAAAGUAAAACAACCCACCCCACAGACCAACCACAGCCCUGCCACCAGGGCCACGUGUAUUUGCCAGAGGCUGGGAUAUUUCUGGGUGACUUCUCAGGCUUUCCUUUAUCCUCAGUUUUUCCAUUUUCUCCUCUAGCACCUAGCUGCUCAUCCUCCCAGAUUAGAAACCAUUCUCUGUGACAACUGCUGAAUCUUUCUGGGGGUUUGCUCCCUCAGAAUCUCCCCUUUGGGCCUGCCAAGCACACCGGCCCAGCCCAGUGAGGCUGUCAGAUCCAGGCAGGAUUUCAAGGAGUUUUCCAGGCAGGAUUUCAAGGUGCAGCUGUCAGGUCUGCUCCUGUGCUCAGACUUGAGCAAGACACGGGGCUUUGCAGGGCUGGGACUGUGUGGGUUUGAUCUCUGCUUUGUCCAUCCCUUUCUUGCUGCAGUGCAAGGGAAAGGGGAGAGGGAAAGGUUGCCAAUUGCCUUGCUAACCUUGCUAGCCUUGGCAGGGGCUGAAACUCAGGGAUUUGUGCCCAGUCUCUGCUUGUGAGAGGCUGUGGGACACAUCUUCCUUCUGUCUGCCUCAAAACUCAAGGGCCACAAGGGUGCCAAGAUGUCUGACAAAAGCCUGAAAGCUGCACUAGCAGAAGACCUGCUCCUGUCCAAAACAGCCCCCGUGGGUCCCCAGCUGUCCCUGAGGCAGGUAGCACAGUAGUCCCCAGACUUUCGGGUCCUGUAGGACACUGUUUCUGGAGAAGAGGUUAAAGCAUCACCACUUGUGGCAGCACCAGCUCUCUCCCAAAGUGCACCUUGGGCCCCCACCUGACAUGUCACGAUAUUGUGCUCCAGGAGUUCCCUGCUUGCCCCUGCACUGAGGCCUCUGGUCUCGCCAGGAGGGGCCAUUGCCUUGGCAGGGCUCCAGCACAGCCAGGGGGUGGUGGUGAGGGAGAAAAGCCCAGCCCAAGGCACCAUCCCUACAGGUGAGAUGAGAGGACUGCCUUAAGGCCAGAGCCAAGACAAGCAGGUUCAUCCCAACGUGGAGCAGAGCAUCUGUCAGUGCAGGGGCAGUGCCAGCUCCCUGCUCUGUAGGCAGGAGAGCAGGCACAGAGAGAAGAGCCUCUGCCAACCUGAGCCAGGCUGUUCCUGCUGCUGCAAACCAGCCACUGCCCUUGCCUGAGGCCCCAGGGAGCAGCAGCAUCACAACAAAGCACGCUCUCCUUCCCUGCUGGCCUGGCUUCCCCCAGCUCAGGGGUCCCCAGACCCUCCCUGCAGGCCCAUCAGCACCAGGGCUGGGCACCAUGAGCCACGUGAUGGCAAAUCCAGCAGGGCACACAGUGGGCAAGGCAUGUCCAGAGGGCUGGGAAAGCCAAGGAAAAGAUCUUUGGUCUUUGUGCCUGGACACUGCAUCAGACACCCAGCAAGGUUCCCAAAAACACAUGGACCCAGCAUCUAAUUAAGUGAAACAAUUAACUCCCCACAUUAGAGCACUGAGAGCUGGGAAGCAUUAGGCUUCACAGAAGGCAAACCAACACUGUUUAAAACACAUACUAGAAGAGCAAUUACCAUCCCCUUCAAAAAAAUCAACGAUACUCACCACUAUACAGUUUCAUCCAUUCUGGGGAAAAAGUCUGUCAGCAUAAAUGCCAAGCUCAGCCUGUGCAAAUGAUAAAAUGUGUAUCCCUGGAUCAUAAAUGGGUCUAUCAUGUCUCCUCUCCUCACUUUGUCACACACAUAUUCAGUAUUAUUCAGCGAGUGCUUUCUGCCCCCGGCACUGGCAAGCUGUGGCUGUCUUAGAUGGGAGCAGCCAGCCCAUGGCAUGGGGCUGGGGAGGGGAGCUUUGGGAUGCUCUGGGUCCACUGUCUCUGUGGUGACACUCCCAGAUUCUGGGAGCAAGGCACUGCACUUUGUGGCAGAGCACAGUGCAGUUCAGGAGCUUGUGCUCACACAGGUCCCCGUUGUUUAGUCUCAGCAAAGCAGCUGCCCUUGGCUCCCCACCAGUCCUGGUGGCCUGGUCAGCAGCAGAAAGGGCUGAUGGGGCUCUGGGGCUGCCCCACACUGAUGCACUCCAGCCUUUCUGCUGAAGAAUGGCCUUUCCUAAGAGGACUGAGACUCCCCUUAGGUCUGGCUUACACAUAAAGUGUUGGUUUGCUUUGUUUUUUUCCUUUUUGUCUUGCUGCAAUAACACAAACAACAGGACAUUUAUUGACCCUGCUGCAGAGAAGCCACCCUUUCUGCCCCAUGGAGGCAAGACUGUCCUCUGCUUUUCCAAAGCACUAAACACAACACAGGCAAUUCCAGUUCAGGCUCCCACUGCCUUUACUCCAUCUGCAUUUCCCCAUUUAUCCAGGGGACAGCUGACACCAUCCUCCCCUCCUCACUACGGCUCCAGCUACAGUCAGGCAUGAUGCAGCUGCCUCUGGGAAGAGACCCUGUGCACAAGAGACUGGGGUUUAGCACACAGCCUCCUCCCGCUGGCCUCAGGGGUGGUGGGAUCAAACACUGAAAAGUUACUUACAUACCAUCACUUCCACCUCUACUGCCCACCUCUUCUGUGCUGCACUCACAGUUGGAUCAGGGAGCCAGCCCCAAGGUCACCAUCCCAGCACCUCUGUGCAGGCACAGGCACAGCUCUGCCCUCCAAUCCUGUGGGAAAAGUCUGGGGAAAUGGUUAUAGUAGCCUGAAGGUCAGUGCUUCUUUAUUAUACUUGUCACCUUUCAGCUGUUCUUCACUUCUGAAUGUACAGAACCAUUUUUAUUUGGUUUACAUCAAGACAUUAGAAAUCAAACAACUUUUUGUUUUUUCUUAAAAAAAAAAAAGGAACAAAAGGAAAUGAAAAAUAAAACCCAGCACUAUAUACAUCUUCUUUUCCCCAGUCUCUGCUCCCCUCCCUCCCACCUUUUCCACCCUCCCUCCCUCCCUCCCUCCCAGCAUCUGCGUUAGGUCCUGCUUCCAACACAUUGGUUUCACAUCUCUCACCCAAACCGUGCCCCCAUCCCAACUUUCACAUCUACUGUAAAGACAUCCCGCCCUGCUUGGUAAGCCCAGCCUCCUCGCCCAGAAAGCAUUUGGUAACCAGCAGGACAUUUCUUGCCUCGUUUCUCAGCCGUGCCCCAGCCUGGCACUGCCCUGCACAUCUCAGCCCAGCUCCUGCAACUUUGUCUGGAUGCAGCUGAUUGUCCCUGCCCCCAGGACUGAGCUCUGCUGAUGGCCACGCAGCCUGAGUCUCCUGAGUCUCCCUCUUUUCCCUGUUCCUGACCUCCCUGUCCCCCGGAGAGGACAGGGACUGCUGCCAUGGCUGGGCUUCCUGGAGUGCUGCCUGCAGCUGUACCCAGCCUGUCUGACUCAGGGAUGUCCCCAGUGCUCCAGUCCCUGCAAACCUGUUGUAUUGCACAUAUAUUUUCAAAAGCUUUCUCCUAUUUGCUCUGCUUCUGAAGUUACAGCUCUCUCCUACCAACCACCUUUUCCUCAACCCACCCUCUCCAUCAGAUUCCAGUAACCACCUUCCCUAAAGCCACUGUCCUUUGGUCUGCAGCUCCAGAGGUUUCUCUUCUGUCUGAAAACAGCUCAGAGAUUUAAACACCUUCCUCCACCCCACAACAAAGAGAACAAAACCAGCUCCCUUCCCCACCCCGUAUCUCCUCCUGCCAGACCCUCUGGAGCAGAUCUGGACAAACAGACUGGCCAGAUCAGUUCCCUUCCUGGCUCUGGUUCUGGGAAGUGGAUGUGCUGUCCAUUGGACAGAGGAAGUGCCAAGCCUUGGCAGGUUCCCUACUUAUUUGCAAGGCAUAAGCUGCUGGCGUGGUGUCAGAUGUGCAUGCAAGAAAGUUGGAUACCAUUAAAAACCUACAGUCCUGUUUGUUUCAUGCACUGUCAACUUAUCCUAUAUACACUACUGGCUGGUUUAUGCUCGAAGCCAUGAAUAGAAAGGUUUACAUCUUCCUUUUCCCUCAGUAACCAAAGCUUUUCUCUCACCCAUGGAAUAG